rnacentral:tRNA from 1 species
UAGCUCAAUGGUAGAGUGCUUGCCUUGCAUGUAUGAGGCCAUGGGUUCAAUUCCUCU